CCUACGGGAGGCAGCAGUGAGGAAUAUUGGUCAAUGGGAGGAAUCCUGAACCAGCCAUGCCGCGUGCAGGACGACGGCUCUACGAGUUGUAAACUGCUUUUGUACCGGGGUAAAAUGCUCUACGAGUAGGGUUUUGAAAGUACGGUACGAAUAAGGAUCGGCUAACUCCGUGCCAGCAGCCGCGGUAAUACGGAGGAGCCGAGCGUUAUCCGGAUUUAUUUGGGUUAAGGGGUGCGUAGGCGGGUUAUAAAGUCAGAGGUAAAAUCGUGGAGCUCAACUCCAUCCAGCCGUUGAAACUGAUGAUCUUGAGUGGGCGAGAAGUAUGCGGAAUGCGUGGUGUAGCGGUGAAAUGCAUAGAUAUCACGAAGAACUCCGAUGGCGAAGGCAGCAUACCGGCGCCCGACUGACGCUGAAGCACGAAAGCGUGGGUAUCGAACAGGAUUAGAUACCCUGGUAGUC
rnacentral:rRNA from 1 species